CUCCCUGGAUCUCGACGGCUGAGUGGAGAGGAUCCGAAGUCGCUGGGUCCAUUCUUGGUCGGAUUCUUCUGUUACGGUGCGUGAAUGAGGACCCAAAAGCGAAUUAACGUAAACAGAGCUUCUUUAAUAACAAAACAAAACGUAGGCUCAGAUGGACCGGCAGGUUCCGACAGGACAGGACAAGGUUGCAGCAAACAUGACGAUAGUCUGGUUCAGGCAUGAACAACACAAACAAACAAGAAUCCGACAAGGACAGGAGCAGAAACAGAGAGAGAUAUAGGGACCUAAUCAGAGGGAAAAAGGGAACAGGUGGGGAACGGGGUGAAUGGGUAAUUAGGAGGAGACAAGGCACAGCUGGGGAAAAGAGGGGGAGAAAAGGUAACAUAACAACGACCAGCAGAGGGAGACAGGGUGAAGGGAAAGGACAGAGACAAGACAACAUGACAGUACAUGACAAAUGGUCUAAUUCACACACUUAUCAUGUCAUGCCCUGAUCUGUUUCACCAGUCCAAGUGCUUGUCUCCACCCCACUCUCCAGGUGUCGCUCAUCUUCCCUAAUAUCCCCUGUGUAUUUAUACCUGUGUUCUCUGUCUGUUUCUUGCCAGUUCGUCUUGUUCGUUCAAGCUAACCAGCGUUUUUCCUGUCAGCUCCAAUCGUUUCCCAGCCUCUCUUUCCUCGUCCUCCUGGUUUUUGACCUCUGCCUGUCCCUGACCCUGAGUUGCCUGCCGUCCUGUACCUUUGCCUUACCCUGGAUGUUCGACCCUUGCCGGCCUUGACCUGUCUUUGCCUGCCCCUGUUGCUACAAUACACUUUGUUACUUCAACAGUCUGCAUCUGGGUCUAACCUUGAUCCCUGAUAUAUCAAGAGAACAUCCCUAUACACCCAUACUGUCUCUGAUCUGAAGGACUCACUAAACACAAAUUCUUCGUUUGUAAAUGAUGUCUGAGUGUUGGAGUGUGCCCCUGGCUAUCCGUCAAUGAAAGAAAAACAAGAAAAUUGUGCAGUUUUCUUAAUAUAAGGAAUUUGAAUUAUAUUUUAGCAAUUCCAUUUACUUUUGAUACGUUAGUAUUUUUUAAAACCAAAUACUUCCAGACUUUUAGUCAAG
rnacentral:lncRNA from 13 species